rnacentral:lncRNA from 1 species
GUAUAUGAAAUUUAAAACAUAGCUUUACUCUAUCUUCAAAGCCACUACGGUUUUGGUGAAAGGUAAUGGGAUAAUAAGUUUGGAAGAGGAGGCAAGUUUAGCAAGGACUUGACAAAAGGACAAGCAGAACCUGCUUUUAAUUAGCCAUAGACAGCUACAGCCUAAGCCUGGCCUGGGAAAAGCCAAGAGGCAGUUUGGUGUAGAUCCCAGAGUUCGAGGUCACCUGAAACUGGAUUCCAAGGAUGAUUUGGCGGGAAUGGCCCCUCCCCCUUCUUCAUAACCCAGUGUCUUGGAAUAGUAAAAUUGAACCUUGGUCAGACUGAAAAAAAAAAAAAAAAAGAUCCCAGAGUUCUCAGAAGGCACCUUUGGAAAUGACAGAAUACCUAUUACAAUGUGUUUAGAGCCUCAGCACCUUUCCCACACUAUAUUGUGCCUCUGCAACCCCAGGAAAAAGGCCUCAUGGAAGGUCCCAAGCCUAGGACCACACUUUAUUAUCACACUAGAUAAUAAAGUCUGUUGUAGCCUUUGGUAAUUGGCUGCUAUUUGACCUCAGACAGUAGCAGCCAGGCUUGCUUAUUGCUCUUGAAGAUCAGAGCUUACACAAGAAAGAAGGCCUAAAUAUACUGUUAAACAGCAGGAUUUCUAAGGAGUGUUCCCUUCUAGUAAAGAUACAGAAAACUCAUAGGUCUGAGCUAGAGGUGAAGCUCAGCUCUAGAUAGAGUACUUGGUCAGCAUGGCCUGAUGUCCAUUCCUAACACUAAGGUGAAAUGAGAUGAAAGAAUAUAUGCAAGUACUGCAGAUUGUGAAAAGCCAGGCAUGGUAGUGUGUAUCUAUAGCCCCUGCACUCGGAGACUGAAGCAGUAGGGUGGCUUGAGCUUAGGAAUUCAAGAGCAGUCUGGGCAACAUAGAAAGACUUCAUUGCAAAAACAAAUGAAUGAAUGAGUGAAUGAAUGAAUGAAUGAAUGAAUGAAUGGAAGAAAGGGGAAAGAAUUGUGCAAGUAACUUCUCUAAGUUGAAGUCCAUUAGUUAGCAGAUUAGACAGUGCUACUGAGUUCGAACAAUGGAUAAAAAUAGGUCUAGGUUGAAGCAGGAAAAAGAUCUAGGAAGGUCAGAGGUCUUACUAUAGUUAGAGACAUCAUCUUUUAAUGAAAUAAUUUUAUGGCAGUUUCUGCAACAUCCUUUUUCAUUUAGCUCCUGAGUAACAGCACAAAGACAUCAAAAUUUAUUAACAAGUUACAAACCUAAUCUGGGAAGGUUCUGAGAUGAGUACAAUCUGGCUAGGCUAUUAAUAACCAGAUAAAUGCCCUAUUAUUUGCCAGCUGAGUCUUGCUUUGUUUCAUGUAUGUCCUCAAUUUGAGCUUGCUUUGGUCAUGUCCUCAUGGCCCAUCCUGCCUCGUGGCCCAUCCUGCCUCAUGGGGACCUCCUUCCUCCCUUGCCUUUUUCCUUCUCCUUGUGGGCUUUACCUGAGAUCCCAUACUCCAUCUCAAGACUCACGUUUCUCUCCUGCCCAGUAACAGGCUCUAGCCUUUUAUUGUCCAAUCAGAGAUUACUAGGGAGCGUUCUUUACAGCACAUUGGUCAAUACAACGUCCAUGUCCAGACUACAACCUGAUCUUGGGGCACAGAACUCAGCAUCUGAAUGCACAGCACACAAGACCAACCUCAACAAUCUUUGGAUGCACACACAGGAACUGGGUAGUAGAACAGUGUCUCAGAAUCUGAUAAGGGCCUAAAAAGAUAGUUGAGUGGUUAAGAGCAUGUGUUCUUGCAGAGGACCUGGGUUUAUUUCCCAACCCACAUGAUGGUUUACAACCACUCUUGACUCUAGUUCCAGAGAACCUUCUAUAGAGGCACCAGACACAUACUCAGUACAUAUACAUAGGCAAAAUAUACAAAUGAGC